AUGUCAGUUGAAGCUAAAGUCAUCUGAAGGCUUGCCUGGGCCUGAAGGAUCCAUGUCCAGGAUUGCUUACAGUUGGCAAGUUGAUGGGAGGCCUUUGUGAGAGGCCUCAGCUCUUCCCCAUGUGGCCUCACAACCAUGUGAGCUUCGAGAUGAAAUCUAAGAGGAAUUCAGAACGUCUGGCCAUGUCUGCACUGAUGGAGUAGGUGUCCUGAGAAGCCAAUUUGCAUGAGGUCUGCGGCCCCUCCUGGAGGACAAUUCAUCCUGAUGAAAUGAGAAGCCAGGAUAACUGGGCCAGGCUGAGGCCUUCUGCAAGACAGCAGUCAGAAUGCAGGCUUCAGUGCUCUAAAGCUAUUAUCAUCAACCAUGAAGUGUGCUCUUCAGGGACGAGGCUCCUGGUCAAAAGCUGACCUACCUGGAUAAUGCGGUCUCCUUCUCGAAUGCGCCCAUCCUUGGCCGCGAUGCUGUUAGGGUCGAUCUGAAACACACAUGGACAUGUCAGCACGGGGUGGAUAAUAACGAAGACAUGCAUGAAAAUCAACAACAGCACUUCUCAAAGGCUAACACAUAGUCUUGCUUAUCCCUAUAUUUUUGUUUUGCACAGAAAUAAAGACGACUUAGUGUCAUGAAAGGAGAGACAAACAUGGAUUGAUCUGUUUCCAAGCCCUUUCCUGGGCAUGCAUACUCUUGGACCCCUGCAUGCAACCCUGUUCCAUGGCAGUGUGCACAGACCCUGCUGACCCAAAGGAUGGUGAGGCACAGCUGACUUCCAUUGCAUCCACAGAAAUGAAAACCGAAGUGUGAUGCAGAACAGGCUAAACUGUACCCUUCACUAUGCUGCUCCCCUCUCUCCAGGAUCACUGCUUAUGGUUGUGCAGACUGAGCUGUGAGCAAGGUGUCCAGACAAGGAG